rnacentral:rRNA from 1 species
UACGUAGGUGGCAAGCGUUGUCCGGAUUUACUGGGCGUAAAGGAUGCGUAGGCGGAUAUGUAAGUCAGAUGUGAAAUUCCCGGGCUUAACUUGGGAACUGCAUUUGAAACUGCAUGUCUAGAGUGCAGGAGAGGAAAGUGGAAUUCCUAGUGUAGCGGUGAAAUGCGUAGAGAUUAGGAAGAACACCAGUGGCGAAGGCGACUUUCUGGACUGUAACUGACGCUGAGGCAUGAAAGCGUGGGGAG